AAGAGACAGCAGCAGCCGCGGGAAUACAGAGGGUGCGAGCGUUAAUCGGAUUUACUGGGCGUAAAGCGUGCGUAGGCGGCUUCUUAAGUCGGAUGUGAAAUCCCUGAGCUUAACUUAGGAAUUGCAUUCGAUACUGGGAAGCUAGAGUAUGGGAGAGGAUGGUAGAAUUCCAGGUGUAGCGGUGAAAUGCGUAGAGAUCUGGAGGAAUACCGAUGGCGAAGGCAGCCAUCUGGCCUAAUACUGACGCUGAGGUACGAAAGCAUGGGGAGCAAACAGGAUUAGAUACCCCAGUAGUCCCUGUCUCUUAUAC
rnacentral:rRNA from 1 species